rnacentral:lncRNA from 1 species
UAUCUUUUUUUUUUCUCUCCUCCGUCUAUCGUCGGACGUUUGAUUUCGAUUCUCCUAUUUAUAAUGGGAGGGGUGGCGAGAGUUAUUUUGAGAAAUUCGAAAUUCGAAAUUCGAAAUUGAAUUUUGAAUAGGUUGUUGUGGUUGGUUGAAAGAUAUUUGGGAUUGGUUGGAAAUUCAAAAUUCGAAAUCGAAUUUUGAAUGAGUUUUUAGAUGGUUGGAGGGUAUUUUGGGCAUUGGUUGGAAAUUCGAAAUCGAAUUUUGAAUGGAUUGUUGGAGGAUAUUUUGGAAAUUGGUUGGAAAUUCGAAAUUCGAAAUUGAAUUUUGAGUGUGUUGUUGGAUGAUAUUUUGGGAAUUGGUUGGAGAUUUGAAAUUCGAAAUUCGAAAUCGAAUUUUGAAUGGGUUGUUGAAUGGUUGAAGGAUAUUUUGGUGAAUCGGUUAGGGAUUCGAAAUUCGAAAUCGAAUUUUGAAUGGGUUGUUGGAUGGUUGAAGGAUAUUUUGGGGAGUCGGUUAGGGAUUCAAAAUUCGAAAUUUGGUUGGGGAUUCGAAUUUUGAAUCGGUUGUUGGGUGCACGGAUGUUGGUUGGGGAUUCGAAAUUCAAAAGUUGUGGAAUGAAUAGGUAUUCAAAAUUCGAAUGAAUGUUGGUUGAGAGAUAUUUUGGGAGUUGGUUCGAAGUUCGAAAUCGAAUUUCGAAUAUGGUUAUUAGGAUAACAGAUAUUUUCUGGGGGUUUAAAAAUUUAAAAUCGAAUUUGAAUAUGAUAUUCGAAAUUGAAUUUUCAAACGUGGGUGAAAAUGUGAGCCGUGAUCCCAUGAAUUGGGCUGAA